rnacentral:rRNA from 1 species
AUUGAACGCUGGCGGCAUGCCUUACACAUGCAGGUCGAACGGUAACGGGUCUUCGGAUGCUGACGAGUGGCGAACGGGUGAGUAAUACAUCGGAACGUGCCUAGUAGUGGGGGAUAACUACUCGAAAGAGUGGCUAAUACCGCAUGAGAUCUACGGAUGAAAGCAGGGAUCGCAAGACCUGGUGCUACUCGAGCGGCCGAUGGCAGAUUAGGUAGUUGGUGGGAUAAAAGCUUACCAAGCCUACGAUCUGUAGCUGGUCUGAGAGGACGGUCAGCCACACUGGGACUGAGAAACGGCCCAGACUCCUACGGGAGGCAGCAGUGGGGAAUUUUGGACAAUGGGCGCAAGCCUGAUCCAGCAAUGCCGCGUGCAGGAUGAAGGCCUUCGGGUUGUAAACUGCUUUUGUACGGAACGAAAAGCCCCGGGUUAAUACCCUGGGGUCAUGACGGUACCGUAAGAAUAAGCACCGGCUAACUACGUGCCAGCAGCCGCCGUAA